rnacentral:rRNA from 1 species
GGCGGACGGGUGAGUAAUGCUUGGGAACAUGCCUUGAGGUGGGGGACAACAGUUGGAAACGACUGCUAAUACCGCAUAAUGUCUACGGACCAAAGGGGGCUUCGGCUCUCGCCUUUAGAUUGGCCCAAGUGGGAUUAGCUAGUUGGUGAGGUAAUGGCUCACCAAGGCGACGAUCCCUAGCUGGUUUGAGAGGAUGAUCAGCCACACUGGGACUGAGACACGGCCCAGACUCCUACGGGAGGCAGCAGUGGGGAAUAUUGCACAAUGGGCGCAAGCCUGAUGCAGCCAUGCCGCGUGUGUGAAGAAGGCCUUCGGGUUGUAAAGCACUUUCAGUCAGGAGGAAAGGUUAGUAGUUAAUACCUGCUAGCUGUGGCGUUACUGACAGAAGAAGCACCGGCUAACUCCGUGCCAGCAGCCGCGGUAAUACGGAGGGUGCGAGCGUUAAUCGGAAUUACUGGGCGUAAAGCGUAC